UACCUGGUAUCUCAGCUGAUAGAGAAUCUGCCUACAAUGCAGGAGACCCUGGUUCAAUUCCUGGUUAGGAAG
rnacentral:tRNA from 1 species